AGAUAGGAAGGCAUCUCUUGAUGGUGGUCUGUACCUACCUGAUGCCUUUCAAAGAAGCUUUCCUGAAAGCUGUGCUGCUGAACUGAGUGCUUGCAAACCCUCACCAGACAGCUGACGGAGCAUAGACGGUAACUGUCCUCCUGGCUCCUACACAUCUCUAUGAGCCACACAGAACUCAGUUGUCAGAUAACUUCACAGGCAAAAAAGGCAAGAAGAGGUGAGCGGCAGCAGCAGAGCUGCUGGUAUGUGAGGGGAGCAGGAGAGCUCCUGCACAGGAGUGACCACUCACGUGAGAAAGAGAGGAAAAGGAUAAAGCACAUCCAUUUGGCUGGGGAAAAGAGGGGAUCCUGCUGGCUUGAGAAAACUGCCCCCCUAAGCUGGAUGAGUGAACACCUAGAAAAAAAAAUGUCAGCUUACUGAUCAUAAUAGGGGCUGAAAUUUAUUAUGUGCUGCAUAGCCUAAUGGUGUCUGUUAAAUCUGCAGACAAAGCACUUGCUGAGAUUGUGGGAAAUCUACACAAUCACCUAUCCUGGGGGUCACUGGCGAUGAUAGAGCAUUUCUGUUUUUAUAAAGAGAACGUGAAAGAAAAUGAACAUUUCUGAAUACGUGGCUGGAAUAGAGAAAUGUCCAGAGAUUUCCCAGGGUGUAGGGAAUAUAAAUGAUGCAUGAAGGAAUGGGGUUCUCUGUGUUCAGGGAAA